UUUAACGUGAUUUAACACUUAUUAACGUGAAUACCAAUGAACAAUGAGUGUUACCCUAUUAUUAUGACGGAAUAGGUUAUGCACUCCCCCAAGUUCAUAACAUUCUACUUUACCGAAGCUGUGAAUACAGAUUCGUUGUUAUGCGUAAUGAUCACCCCAAUCGUUACGCUUUUUUUUUGCCUGUUUUAUUA
rnacentral:sRNA from 17 species